UACGUAGGGUGCAAGCGUUGUCCGGAAUUAUUGGGCGUAAAGAGCUCGUAGGCGGCUCAGUAAGUCAGGUGUGAAACCUCCAGGCUCAACCUGGAGACGCCACCUGAUACUGCUGUGGCUAGAGUCCGGUAGGGGGGCGUGGAAUUCCUGGUGUAGCGGUGAAAUGCGCAGAUAUCAGGAAGAACACCCGUGGCGAAGGCGGCUCUCUGGGACGGUACUGACGCUGAGACGCGAAAGCGUGGGGAGCGAACAGG
rnacentral:rRNA from 1 species